AAUCAACGCUGGCGGCGUGCCUCAGACAUGCAAGUCGAACGAUUAAAGCUCUCUUCGGAGAGUGCAUAAAGUGGCGCACGGGUGAGUAACACGUAAGUAAUCUACCUUCGAGUGGGGAAUAACGUCCGGAAACGGACGCUAAUACCGCAUAAUGCAGCGGCAUCGCAAGAUGACAGUUGUUAAAGGAGCAAUUCGCUUGAAGAGGAGCUUGCGGCAGAUUAGCUAGUUGGUAAGGUAACGGCUUACCAAGGCUACGAUCUGUAACCGGUCUAAGAGGACGGUCGGUCACACUGACACUGAAUAACGGGUCAGACUCCUACGGGAGGCAGCAGUCGGGAAUUUUGGGCAAUGGGCGAAAGCCUGACCCAGCAACGCCGCGUGAAGGAUGAAGUAUUUCGGUAUAGUAAACUUACGAAAGAAUAGGAAGAAUAAAUGACGUUACUAUUUAUAAGGUCCGGCUAACUACGUGCCAGCCGCCGCUGUAAG
rnacentral:rRNA from 1 species